CACGGGCACCACGCCGCCGCGCGCGCGCUGCUCGACGCCGGCGCCGACGUCACCGCCAAGGCGGCGCACGGGUUCACACCACUCCACCAAGCCGCACAACAAGGCCACACUCUCAUCAUACAACUUCUUCUGAAGAGCAAUGCUGAUCCCAAUGCCUUGUCUGCGAACGGCCAAACAGCGUGUGCCAUAGCGGACCGACUCGGCUACAUCAGCGCCGUGGAGGCGUUGCGACCGCUUACAGAGAACACGCUCAGCCAGGCCGUCGGCGACGGUGAGUCUAGCUCUAAUUUUUACCUUUUAUAUCGAUUACAAAAAAAGGAGGAGGUUCUCAAUUCGACUGUAUUUU